rnacentral:lncRNA from 1 species
GGUUCGUGGCCCUUGUGGCUGGUGGGCAAGAUGGCACCUGGGCUGGUGCCUUGCCACCAACACGCCUUUGGGUGUUUGGGGAGACUGCUCUCUGCAACCUUGUGGCUCCUUCCUACACAACAUGCAAAGCCACUCACUUCCCCCCUUAUUUGACCUGAGGCAGAGGGAGUGAGUGCGCUGUCUAAGGCAGGCAUUCUCAGAAAAUGGUCUUGGGAGUGGAGAGUGGAAAAAAAAUCUGAGUAUAUUAGAUAUAAAACAUGAAAUAAUACAGUAGAGAAACACAUACAGGGAUAUCCACGGUUUUAGAAUUUCAUGGGGUGUUGAUGCGCAAAAAAGUUGCAAAAAUCUGCUUGGAGGGUGGUCAUGAAAAACAGAAGGUUCUUGGCAUGCGUGAUCCUGUGGUGGAUAGGGUAAGGCUUGAUGGCACCGAAAGUGAGGAGCAGUGAGCCUGCCACCUGCUUGUCGCAGUCGGACUAAUGGAGACACCAGAGAAAAAAUAUGCCUGGGUAAAAAUAGAGCCAGGGAAUUGGGCAAUUCUGAGCCUGGUGAGCCACGCAGAGAAAGGGGCUCUUUCUCUAACUUCACCUCUAGCUUAAAGACCAUUUCUUUUUUCUUUUUCUUUUUUUUUAAGGCUGUAUCUGCAGCAUGUGGAAGUUCCCAGGCGAGGGGAUGAAUUGCAGCUACAGUUGCCAGCUGACGUAUGCCACAACCACAGCAACACAGGAUCCGAGCCACAUCUGCGACCUACACCAUAGCUCAUAGCAACUACAGAUCCUUAACCCACUGAGCAAGGCCAGGCAUCAAACCUGCAUCUUCAUGGAUACCAGUCAGGUUCAUUACCACUGACCUCCUUAAAGACCUUUUCUUGAGCCUUUAAGACAUCUUGACCAUAUCCUAUUGCUGUCCAGGCAUUUCCAGUUAUGAGCAUAAGUUUCCUUUUUGUGGGAAAGUCUCGUUUUUCUGGUGAGAAAUGGUCCCCUGAAUUUCAAGUUUGGGUCCAACCCUAUGAGUCUCUUCUGAGCCCAGCCUGUGGCUGAGGGUCGUACAGAAGGGAAGAGUAUAGGGUUUGACUCUUUCCUCUGCCGCCUCCUUUUCCCACUCCGCCUCUUACAGGGGUGGAGCAGCUGAAAAAGAAUGUUUUUAAAGAGGGGAGAUGAUUUCUGGAGCUGAUCUUGCCAUGUUAGGGUUCUCUUUGCUUGUGUUGGCUGGUGAUCAGCGCCAGUUUGGAGGCAGGUGUUUGAGUGCAGGAUGCAGGUCUUCUUAUGAAUUGACAAUGCUUGUUCUUGGGGAGGCCUGGGGGUGUCCUCCCAGGGCACAGCCGCCCUUGGUAGCAACGAGCCUUCCAGCUCUCAGAGAUUCCUCUGCGUGUGACCCACCCAGACAUCCACAUGGGAGUUCGCUCAGUCACAUUAACUUAAAGGUAGGAAAGUGCCAGGUAGCCUGCAUCGUCCAUGUAGCCUAAGGAAGAGCACGUUCUUGUCCCACCAACCUGAGGGAUGCUGGCUGCCCCACCCUGCACUCUCUGCUUGCCCUCGGCCCUCCCAGAUCCUCUGGACCUUGGGACUUCACCAGAUCAGCACCACACCCCGUGUCCACAUAGACCUUUAGACACUCAGGGUUGUAGACAAGGCUCCCAAGAACCUCUAACACACGUGACCAUGAUCAAGUGGCAGGAAAAGAAGUCAGGUUCUGCAGAUGGUAAGCAUUUGGUCUAGAGGAUGCCUGUCUGUCAUCCAUCAGUCCCUGGGAAUGGCUUUUUGGGACCCCACCUCCCCCUGACAUAGCAUGAAACACCAGCCACCUGGCCCCCUCCCCAACCCGACACAGGAGGCCAUUAGGGUGAUACCCCAUUAGAAACACAACUUUGCUUGAAUUUCCAUCUUUUUUAUGGGCCACAAGGGAUGUGGCUGGGAGGUUGUCUCAGGGUCUGUCCUCAUUAUAACUCAUGAAAGGAUGAGUCCAGAAAUCCUUCUUAUGAAUGUGGAGGUCCUUAGCACCCAUGGCUCACAGCCCUGCUCAGCUUCCUGGUGCAGUGGCAUUCGCGUUGCCAAGCACGGUUUGUCACUUCAUGGUUUGGAUAAUGGCAUUUAACGCUACAUGACAUGAAAUGUUCGUUAUGAGGGGGAAAAAACCCCACCAUUUUGAUUUAUAAAAACUUUGAUUUGCUCUUAUUUCAUUAUGUAGGCCAACUGCCUUCACUAUGAAUUUUCAAAUCCGGUUUUUAAAAACCAUCAUUUUGUUACCUGGAACACAAGGUUCCAGAGGCCAAUAAAUUCUGCAUUAGUAUAAUAAAACUGUUCAACUCUAGCCCAGCCAAGUGAGCUUCUUUUUAAAAUUGUUGACUCCGACACACAGGGUGAGUCUUUUUGAAUGAGAAUCAAAGGGCUCUGUCAUGCAGAAUAAGUCUGGGUUCCCUCCUCAAGGAGCCGUGCCCGCCUCUAGCGGGCGUGAAGGAGGUCGGAAGGUUUGGCUUCUCGGACCUCAGAGCUCUGCUUCCAUACACGGUUCCUUCCAGCCAGCACGUCCUUAAGCAUCUCUCAGCCGAUGCUAAGGUCUCUUUGGAUCUGUCCGCCUCUGGCAGUGCCCAGCAUAAGACUCCUGCACUUUACUUUUUUUAAAGUAUAGUUGAUUUACAGGGUGCCAACUUGUGCUAUACAGCAAAGUCACUCCGUCGUAAUAUAUAUACAUUCUUUUUAAAAUGUUAUUAUCCAUCAUGGUCUACCCAGGAGAUUGGAUGCCUGUGCUGUACUGUAGGACCUUAUUGUCGAUCCAUUCUAUGCAUAAUAGUUUGUGCCUGCUAAUCCCCCGUUCCCAGUCCUCCCCUCCACCACCCCCACCCUUGGCAACCACAAGCCUGUUCUCUGUGUCUGUGAGUCUGUUUCUGUUUCGUAGAUAGAGUCAUUUGUGCCAUAGCUGAGAUUCCACAUACAGGUGAUAGCAUAUGGUAUUUGUCUCUCUUGUUCUGACUUACUUCACUUAGUAUGAGAAUCUCUAGUUGCAUUCAUGUUGCUGCACAUGGCAUGAUUUUGUUCUCUUUUAUGGCUGAGCAUGUUCCAUUUGUAUAUAUGUACUAUAUCAUCUCAAUCCUUUCCUCUGUUGAUGGACAUUUAGGUUGCUUCCAUGUCUCGGCUAUUGUGCAUAGCACUGCAAUGAACAGAGGGGUGCAUAUAUCUUUUGGACGUAUAGCUUUUUUCCAGAUACAUGCUCAGGAGUGGGACUGCUGGAUCAUAUAGUAGUUCUGCUUUUUAGUUUUUUAAGGACGCUUCAUGUUGUUGUCCAUUGUGGAAGCACCAAUUUACAUUCCCACCAACAGUGUAGGAGAGUUCCCUUUUCUCCACACCCUCUCCAGCAUUUGUUAUUUGCAGACUUGUUAAUGGUGGCCAGUAUGAGUGGUACCUCAUUGUAGGUUUUUUUUUGUCUUUUUUUUCUUUUUUCUGGGGCCGCUCCUGCAGCAUAUGGAGGUUCCCAGGCUAGGGGUCUAAUUGGAGCUGUAGCCACCAGCCUACGCCAGAGCUAUAGCAAUGCAGCAUCCAAGCUGCCUCUGCGACCUACACCACAGCUCACUACAACGCUGGAUCCUUAACCCACUGAGCAAGGCCAGGGAUCGAACCUGCAACCUCAUGGUUCCUAGUUGGAUUCAUUAACCACUGAGCCACAAUGGGAACUCCCUCAUUGUAGUUUUGAUUUACAUUUCUGUCAUUAUUAGUGAUGUUGAGCAUCUUUUCAUGUGCCUCCUGGCCAUCCAUAGACAUAAGACCUGACACCAUGAAAUUCUAGGAGAGAAUAGAGGCAAAGCAUUCUCUGACAUCAACUGUACAAAUGUUUUUUCAGGUCAGUCUCCCAAGGCAAUAGAAAUAAAAAGAAAAGUAAACAAAUGGGACCUAAUCAAACUUACAAGCUUUUUGCACAUCCAAGGAAACAAUAAAAAAAAA